CCUACGGGGUGCUGCAGUGGGGAAUAUUGGACAAUGGGCGAAAGCCUGAUCCAGCCAUGCCGCGUGUGUGAAGAAGGCCUUCGGGUUGUAAAGCACUUUCAGUGGGGAAGAAAGCCUUGGGGCUAAUACCCUCGAGGAAGGACAUCACCCACAGAAGAAGCACCGGCUAACUCCGUGCCAGCAGCCGCGGUAAUACGGAGGGUGCGAGCGUUAAUCGGAAUUACUGGGCGUAAAGCGCGCGUAGGCGGUCUGAUAAGCCGGUUGUGAAAGCCCCGGGCUCAACCUGGGAACGGCAUCCGGAACUGUCAGGCUAGAGUGCAGGAGAGGAAGGUAGAAUUCCCGGUGUAGCGGUGAAAUGCGUAGAGAUCGUGAGGAAUACCAGUGGCGAAGGCGGCCUUCUGGACUGACACUGACGCUGAGGUGCGAAAGCGUGGGUAGCAAACAGGAUUAGAUACCCCUGUAGUC
rnacentral:rRNA from 1 species